rnacentral:misc_RNA from 1 species
AUAAGUUAUAGUUGCUAACCUUCACUGUUUUUCCAUAUGGAUCAGAAUAUGGCAUUCAUUUCCUGCAGUUGCAUAUUUUCACAAGAUAUGUUCCCAACACAUGUUUCCCCCUUUUCCAAGGAAAGACUAGUUGUUAAUGAAUCCAUUAGAACUGAAACUAACAGCCAUUAUAAGGGAUUCUUGGAAGAAAUAGUUUUGGAACUGAAGCCAUUAUAAGCAGUUUUUGUCACAUGGGUUUAGGUUCUGAUUAUGCAAAUUCUCAUCUUUGGUUCCCCUGGCUAAAUCUGUUGUCUUUCCACAGGUGUUCUUAUCUCCAUCUUGAGGAUAACCACAAAGGCACCACUCCCACAAACCCCCAAGGUCUCCGAACAAGUGCCCACUUCUAUUUUAUAGUUACCGUAAUUAUUCUGAUGUGCUGCACUCUCUGUUGCAACUUCUUGUACAAUUUACCAGUUAUGGAACAGUAUUUCAAGCUUCUGUCAAAUGAUAAUUCAGCGACUUCAAGGCCAACAUUUUGAGCUGUUGCAAGAAAAAUCCAGUGGCCAGUUUUUAGGAUUCUCAUAAUUUAUGUUGUGACUCUUCUAAUUUUCCCUGGAUUCUUAGCUGAAAGUCUUGCAUCCAAGU